GUCCAUGUAUCACCAGCCAUUAGCAAACAAAUGAUGCACAUGGAGAAAGCAACCACCAUAAUAAUAGGCAAAGCUAAGAACUUCCAAUCUUUCUUGACAUGUAGAGGACUAGCAGAUUCUACUUCAUCCACUGAAUAAUUUCCAAGGAAGAGAUCAAUAGCAUCUUGUCUAAAUCCAUCAGAAAAGUUAUUUUUGUAAUAACGUAUUAAUGAGUUCCAGCCAUCCAUUAUUAAGCCCCACUGAGUCCUCUUCCCAGUUCUUGUGUAAUCUGUCUUUAAGGCACCAGUUCCAGCAUACUGUUUGGCACAAGCAUUAGCAUUAUCAGCCCAUGCAUUUUUGUAGAUUUUCUCAAAGUCUGCUUGCUCCUCAAUUCUCU
rnacentral:lncRNA from 1 species